UCUGGUGUCAGCCGCCGCGGUAAAACCAGCACCUCAAGUGGUCAGGAUGAUUAUUGGGCCUAAAGCAUCCGUAGCCUGCUUUGUUAGUUUUCGGUUAAAUCCAUACGCUCAACGUAUGGGCUGCCGGGAAUACUGCAAAGCUAGGGAGUGGGAGAGGUAGACGGUACUCGGUAGGAAGGGGUAAAAUCCUUUGAUCUAUUGAUGACCACCUGUGGCGAAGGCGGUCUACCAGAACACGUCCGACGGUGAGGGAUGAAAGCUGGGGGAGCAAACCGGAUUAGAUACCCGGGUAGUCCCAGCUGUAAACUAUGCAAACUCGGUGAUGCAUUGGCUUGAUGCCAAUGCAGUGCCGCAGGGAAGCCGUUAAGUUUGCCGCCUGGGAAGUACGUACGCAAGUAUGAAACUUAAAGGAAUUGGCGGGGGAGCACCACAAGGGGUGAAGCCUGCGGUUCAAUUGGAGUCAACGCCAGAAAUCUUACCCGGAGAGACAGCGGAAUGAAGGUCAAGCUGAAGACUUUACCAGACAAGCU
rnacentral:rRNA from 2 species